UCCUGGUUAGCUCAGUUGGUCGAGCGCUCCACUGGAAAUGGAGAGGUCCCGGGUUCGAUACCCGGAUCAGGCG
rnacentral:tRNA from 1 species